UGCAGCCGCGAGAUUUACGCACGCGCUUUGAUCAGACUGUCCAGACGACAUGUGCUCGCCAUCAUGCUGGAGCCAGAGCAGCAACCCACUUGCAGCGACCUCUCAGAUAAAUCAAGAAGACUUCGCUCUCCGAGUGAUCCGUCAGGGUCCUUUGGCGUGCGCCCUCUGACGGAACACCGACUUGGGGGCUGACGGACGGCAACACGCAGGGAGGCUGGCGUUUACAUUGGCUCGGACGUGAAAAAUUGCAAGCGGUGUCCGUAAGAAGUUUGGGCGUGGAGACGAGACAGAGGGGAAAGUCUGCUACAGCUGAUUUAUGGAGCCGUGACAGCCCGAACAGAUGCUUAAAUGGAUGAAGAUGUUUCCAUGGCCGGGAUUACAGAGAAGGUGCACAGAGCCAAGAAAACGUCGACAGAUAUAUCUGUAUCCCAUAAUUCUGACUGGAUCAUUAAAGAAAAUCUCCUGCAGAGAAAUCGUUGGGAAAAUUCAAAAGAAGCUCUGGACACUUUUUUGCAAAGCUCUCACAUUUAAAUAAUAGUCAUAAUGUACAUAUCCUUUUUUUGUUUUUAUUCUUUAUUUAUAUACAAUAUGCUCUUUGAUUUGCAGUACUUUCCUUUUACCUUCAUCUUCAUUUCGUCUUUUCUUGUACGGUCAGAGACAGGCUCGAUACCAGAACAGUCGACUUCUGCUUUUGUUGGUUUGAAACACUUUGAACUUGAAUGAUCCGAACACACACAGCCUGAACAGUGCUCAUCAGACAGACAGCGAGAGAGAGAGAGAGAGAGAGGUUCCUUGGAAUGGGCUGGAAGUGGAGGGUGGAGUUGGAAUGAUAAUAGUCGGAAAGAUAAUUAUUAUUUUUCUUUACCAAACACUGGCUGUGAGCGAUAAACAACUCCCAAUCAACUUUUGACCUGAACCGGAGGCCGUGUUUGGAAAAGCGGCAGGCCAGGUUUCACGUUUGCCGAGUGGGUUUUGUAAGAACCUGGACAUGUUUCGUUGUAAUUGUUUUGGCCUGUUUGCCAUUUGAGUCCCAACAUACAGAUAAACACAGAAAUCGAACCCGCUGGAACGGAUUGUCGAGCUGCACAGGUAACUUGGCUCGCAUGAACGUCAAGUCACGGCACGUGAAGUCUUUAACUCAUUACUGUGCUGUGUGACGCGAGGUUACUGAGAGGACACGGGUGUAUCAGUGUUUACAGCUUCCUGUGGCAUUUUGACAUUAUCACCUUGUAUUCAACAAAAUAAGUCUACGGAUGAAAACAACUUUUUCCCAAGAAACUUUUUUUUUUCUUUGUUGUGGACAUCAGGACAUCCCUCAUCAGAAAAACAGACAUAUGUGUCCAUGAAAGAACCUCACGAUGACCCAUAUUUAGAUUUGUUGUUAGAUAGCGGUGACCUCUAGUGGACGUAGCAAUUGAUACAGCAUCGGAGGAGGAAGUCAGGUGAAGUGGCCUAGUAUAAAGAGCAACACACCUGUGUAGGAGGAUGUCAAGCAUGGAUGGUUAGGUCAGAGAAGAAGACGACUCUCAUCCAGUUUCAUGUUCGUGUCCAGUGUGAAAGCGAAAGUGAGUGGCUGAUGUUCUAACAUAAUCAUAAAUACUGUUCUGCAAAGUCCUCUGUAAAUGGUCUAAAUGUUGAGUCUUUAGAAGAUUAAGAUUAGUUGCAUAUUUCUGUUCUUCUUUCAUUCCUUGAAAUUAAAGUAGUAGCAGUCAGCCUUUCUCUGCUAUUCGACAUGUUAGCACAUUUCCCAUAAAAACUCAACCAAACAGCUCAUUUGGGUUAAAUAAAUGUGAGGAUGUGAUCACUUAACUUAAAUCAGAUAAUUGAGGAGGAAAUAUGACUUAUAUACAUAGCAGUUGCAUCAUUAGGAAUGAGUUAAAUAUGAAUGAAUUAGGAUGUAAUUAAAACUAAAAACUUAACUAUUAAAUGAGUUUCAAUCGGCUUGUGUUUGUGUGUGAUGUUUGAAACAAGAAAAGCAUUUUCCCGUUCAUUUAUCGCCCUUAAUCUGUUCUGUCAUUUUAUUUUUGACUCUGACAAAAUUCUUUUUUAGAAAGUGCUAUAUGAUCUUUUCUUU